rnacentral:rRNA from 1 species
AACGUAGGACGCAAGCGUUAUCCGGAGUUACUGGGCGUAAAGCGCGGGCAGGCGGUUGCUCAAGUCUGAUGUGAAAUCUCCUCGCUCAACGGGGAGCAGCCAUUGGAAACUGGGCAACUGGAGUCUGGCAGAGGUAGGCGGAAUUCCGGGUGGAGUGGUGAAAUGCGUAGAGAUCCGGAGGAACACCAGAGGCGAAGGCGGCCUACUGGGCCAGUACUGACGCUGAGGCGCGAAAGCCAGGGGAGCAAACGGG